GCGGGUGUGGUGAAUGGUUCACCACUGCGUUCAAUUACUGGCUUCUAUGGAUGCUUACCAUGAGCAAGCAGCUGUCUGGGUUCGAUUCCUAGCACCCGCG